rnacentral:rRNA from 1 species
CGGGCUUUGGGUUAGUCCGCUACGAGCGCAACCCUUGUCCUUAGUUGCCAGCAUGUUCGGAUCUCAGGAAACCGGUGAACCAGAGGGGAACACUCGUCUCUGGCUUUAGUGGGGACACGUUACUGGGUUUAACAGAGGGCGCACCCCGCGGGGCAUCUCAAAACUCCCAUCUCNGGUGCUCGACUCCCCAAUCUAACCUAACUCGGUCAAACGGAAAUUUCCGGUGUACACCCCCCCUAUAAAAGCCGGUAUAA